AGCCCAGGAAACAAGCAGCUAGUUAGCCAUCAACUUAAAAAGAAAGAAGAGACCCAGGAUUUAAAUCUGGAGAUCAACAUAUAGAAAGGGCAGGAUUCCAGCUCCUGCUGUAUUUUGCUGUCCUGCAUAUGUCUCCUCUCUGCAAUCACUCUUUGACAACAUAGGAAAUCAGAAAAUGGGACAGCUCUACAAUGACCUGGAAAGAGUUCAUCGGUCACAGAAAUGGCUAAUGUCUGCUACUCCAGGUUUGUAGAGGUAAAGCUAGACCAGAAG